rnacentral:rRNA from 1 species
UGACGAGUGGCGGACGGGUGAGUAAUGUCUGGGGAUCUGCCUGAUGGAGGGGGAUAACUACUGGAAACGGUAGCUAAUACCGCAUAAUGUCGCAAGACCAAAGCGGGGGACUUUCGGGCCUCGCACCAUCAGAUGAACCCAGAUGGGAUUAGCUAGUAGGUAGGGUAAUGGCUUACCUAGGCGACGAUCCCUAGCUGGUCUGAGAGGAUGACCAGCCACACUGGAACUGAGACACGGUCCAG